UGGAAGUAAAAAGUCGUAACAAGGUUUCCGUAGGUGAACCUGCGGAAGGAUCAUUACCGAGUGUAGGGUUCCUAGCGAGCCCAACCUCCCACCCGUGUUUACUGUACCUUAGUUGCUUCGGCGGGCCCGCCAUUCAUGGCCGCCGGGGGCUCUCAGCCCCGGGCCCGCGCCCGCCGGAGACACCACGAACUCUGUCUGAUCUAGUGAAGUCUGAGUUGAUUGUAUCGCAAUCAGUUAAAACUUUCAACAAUGGAUCUCUUGGUUCCGGCAUCGAUGAAGAACGCAGCGAAAUGCGAUAACUAGUGUGAAUUGCAGAAUUCCGUGAAUCAUCGAGUCUUUGAACGCACAUUGCGCCCCCUGGUAUUCCGGGGGGCAUGCCUGUCCGAGCGUCAUUGCUGCCCAUCAAGCACGGCUUGUGUGUUGGGUCGUCGUCCCCUCUCCGGGGGGGACGGGCCCCAAAGGCAGCGGCGGCACCGCGUCCGAUCCUCGAGCGUAUGGGGCUUUGUCACCCGCUCUGUAGGCCCGGCCGGCGCUUGCCGAACGCAAAUCAAUCUUUUUCCAGGUUGACCUCGGAUCAGGU
rnacentral:rRNA from 1 species